UUUUAUUUCAAUUUAAUAUAGACUCCUCAUGAAAGCAAUCUUCUACCUCAAAAAGAAAUCAAAGUAAAAAGAAAACAUGUGAAAAAGGAGGGGAAUUCAAAAUUCCUCUCAGGCUGGACUCUCCCGCACAAGCAGGAGUCUUCUCCCUCAAGAACUCGCAUUCACGCAAGUUCUUUUUCCUCUAGGAGUAUUCCUUCAACUUCUUCUAGACGUCUUCUUCUUUUUGCCAUGGUUUCAAGUCCAAGAAGGAUUUUUUGAAUCGAUCUCGAGAGAAGGAAUGGCAGUGAGGACUCUUACUCAUAGGUAGGAGGAUCCCAUAUGUGUGGGUUCCCUUUUUCCCAUGUUUCCUUACUUGCACAUAUGAAUUAGGAUGCUCACAUGCGCGAGAUGUGAUGCCUGCAGG
rnacentral:lncRNA from 1 species